rnacentral:lncRNA from 13 species
CACCCAGCUGAGUCUCUACCAAGUUCCUGAUCCUCAGAAGAUGUUUGUUAUUGUAAAUUGCUAAGUAUUGGGGUUAUUAGUUACACAGCAGUAGACACCUAAUAUAAUACAGUGAGAUCCAUUUCAGUCAAGCAAUGGGGUGGAAUCCAAGACACAUUGGGCUAAACAGUGAUUUAGGAAAGAGGAAAUGGGAAAAUGAAAUGUAGAAUUCUUUCGUAAAUCUUGACUAUGAGGAAUUUGAAUAAUGACAAAAAUAGCACGGAUUUGGCACCAGGGAAGAGUUUUGAUUGUUUUUGUUCUUUAAUGGGAAUCAUAUUUUUAUUUUGAGAGCAAAAAGUUGAUACACAACAGGGUUUGAAGAUAAAGAUCCUGUGGGGAUCUUGAUGAGGAUGCCAUCACAGACAUGAGGAAGGGGAUGGGGUGGUGCAGGUAACUGAAACGGUACAAGGGGAAGAAGUGAAACCCUAAUGGCUCCAGCAUUUAUGACUACCUCUUGCUGGCUCUUGGUCAUUCUGUAACUACAUCAUCUCUAAGUUACCUAGUCUUUUCAGGUUCCAAGGACCAUUAGGUACUCCUAACUGUCCAGCCAGGGGCCUUGGAUAUCAAACUGUAAGAUAGGAAUGAACUCACAAUAUGAACACUUUGGUUAUGUUUCAGGCAUUUAAUUUCAUCUGAUCAAAGCUAGAAUUUCAUAUGGUCUAAGAGCAUAAGAGACAUGCUGUUCUGGGGCUGUUUGCUGGAGAAGGUGGAAGGACCCUAUGAGAACUACAAUCAAGUCCUUCAGUAAAAAAAUGACUGGCUGUUUGUAUAGGCGGAUGUAUGAACUGAUCAAUGGAGGAAGAUACUCUGACAGUUUUGCCUGUCCUUGAAGCACUCAAGUAAGUAAAAUGCUGCAUACCUUAGAAAUGUGUUACUUCCUCAUUUUUUCAUAGCUGUAAGGAACACUUGGGACUGGACAAUUGUACUGAAGAUGAUUUUCAAUAUUAUGGAAAGUUAUUUUCUGACAGCUGUCAUGAUUGAGAACUGGUUUAAGGCACUCUAGUUAUGAAGAUCCAAUAUCUCUGCAAUUUCACUUCCUGGUUUCAGAGACCCCUGUGGCUGGGCAAGUGUUCAUCACGUGACACAAUAAAGCUUUGAUUAAAUUUCA